CUACUGCUCCCUUCGUUCGGAAAUAUUUAUCAUUCAAAUUGAUAAAAAAUGAUGUAUCUAGAACUAAAAUACAUCUAGAUACAUCUCCUUUUAUUCAUCUUGAUGAAAAGUAUUUCCGAACGGAGGAAGUAUGUA
rfam:Triticum urartu cultivar G1812 contig733371, whole genome shotgun sequence.